rnacentral:piRNA from 1 species
UGCUCAAUUGGGGCCUAGGCUCACAGUA